ACAGCCGAUCAGAAUUUAACCCAGAUGUGUGAAGGUCAACCCCCUGAGGCUGCCCUCCGCUGCUUUGACUCUCAAGGUUGGACCGAAGGUCUUGGAUGAGCUCUUAUUGUAGUCCACACUAUCAGAUUUAGGAUUAAUCUCUAAAGUCUGAUGGCGAGCUCAAAUCACGGUGAACGGGGCGUGUCACUGUGUUUUGCCCAUAUAUUUGUUUCGACCAAUCAUGUUGCUGGAAGCGGGAAUCUGUAAGGGCAGAAUUGGUGAACACGACCUUGGCCAUCAGUAUUAAACUGUAAAAAAAGUAUCUCUAAAGGUUUGAAAUCAACACAGUUUAGACUGGCUCCUGUAGAAAUUAUUAAAAGCCCUUCUGAAAGCUGAAUCCAAUCGUGCAAAUGAGUUUUCUUUACUUGUUUUUUAGCUAGGUUAUCUUUGGUUGUUUGCUUCUUUUUUUUACAUGAUUCACAAAACAGGAAGUCGGCAUAGCCCCGCCACUUCCAGUUUCCUGUUUCCGGACCUGGCUCUGUUCCCCUUUCCGCCCUGAGGCUCUGCUAUAACUGGGCAGGAACUGCUGGAUCACAGAUUACCCCAUUGCUUUUGUUCGUGCAUUUUCACUUUCACUUGAGAAUUAUUGUGAUUGUUGAUGCGUUUAGUGUGUGUGCUUGUUUGUGGCUGUUUGUGUGUAUGUGUGUGUGUGUGUGUGUGUGUGUGUGUGUGUGUGUGUGUGUGUGUGUGUGUGUGUGUGUGUGUGUGUGUGUGUGUGUGUGUGUGUGUGUGUGUGCGCGCCAAGCAUGCUGAGGGGCUGGGAAGACAGCCAGAGUUACCUGUCGGACCACCCUCACCUGGUGUGAAUGGAGACCGCCACUCAGCAGGUGACCAUGUGAUUAAACUAACAGGUGGAUGAGACAGUACAAGCUGAAGGACCGGUUGCAACUAGUGUCAUAUCCAGAGCAGGAAGGAGGAGGAGCAGCAGGAGGAGGAAAAGGAACAGGAGGAGGAGGAGGUGGAGCGGCAGAAGGAGGAGGGGGAGGAGAAGCAGGAGUAGGAGCAGGAGGAGGAGAAGCAGGAGGUGGAGGAGGAGGAGUAGGAGCAGCAGCAGAAGAGAUUAGGCCCAGGUGGUCUGGAACCCGCAGAGGUCUAUGAGUCUCUCUCUAAGCGUGUUGCGGGUACUGGACUGGAUGCCUGGACUCUCCUCAUGGAUAACCGGCCAGAACCCCA